rnacentral:rRNA from 1 species
CCUACGGGCGGCACCAGUGGGGAAUAUUGCACAAUGGGCGCAAGCCUGAUGCAGCCAUGCCGCGUGUAUGAAGAAGGCCUUCGGGUUGUAAAGUACUUUCAGCGAGGAGGAAGGCGUUAAGGUUAAUGACCUUAGCGAUCGACGUUACUCGCAGAAUAAGCACCGGCUAACUCCGUGCCAGCAGCCGCGGUAAUACGGAGGGUGCAAGCGUUAAUCGGAAUUACUGGGCGUAAAGCGCACGCAGGCGGUCUGUCAAGUCGGAUGUGAAAUCCCCGGGCUCAACCUGGGAACUGCAUUCGAAACUGGCAGGCUAGAGUCUUGUAGAGGGGGGUAGAAUUCCAGGUGUAGCGGUGAAAUGCGUAGAGAUCUGGAGGAAUACCGGUGGCGAAGGCGGCCCCCUGGACAAAGACUGACGCUCAGGUGCGAAAGCGUGGGAGCAAACAGGAUUAGAUACCCUCGUAGUC